rnacentral:rRNA from 1 species
UACGUAGGGGGCGAGCGUUGUCCGAAGUUACUGGGCGUAAAGCGCGCGUAGGCGGCGCUCUAAGUCCGGCGUGAAAGGUUCAGGGCUCAACCCGAACAGUGCGCUGGAGACUGGAGGGCUUGAGGACGGGAGAGGGAAGCGGAAUUCCGGGUGUAGCGGUGAAAUGCGUAGAUAUCCGGAGGAACACCGAUGGCGAAGGCAGCUUCCUGGCCCGUAUCUGACGCUGAGGUGCGAAAGCGUGGGGAGCGAACAGG